rnacentral:rRNA from 1 species
CUACGGGUGGCAGCAGUGGGGAAUAUUGCACAAUGGAGGAAACUCUGAUGCAGCAACGCCGCGUGGAGGAUGACGCUUUUCGGAGCGUAAACUCCUUUUAUAUAUGAAGAAGAUGACGGUACUAUAUGAAUAAGCGCCGGCUAACUCCGUGCCAGCAGCCGCGGUAAUACGGAGGGCGCAAGCGUUACUCGGAAUCGCUGGGCGUAAAGGGCGUGUAGGCGGAUUAAAAAGUCAGAAGUGAAAUCCUAUAGCUUAACUAUAGAACUGCUUCUGAAACUCUGAAUCUAGAAUAUGGGAGAGGUAGAUGGAAUUUCUGGUGUAGGGGUAAAAUCCGUAGAGAUCAGAAGGAAUACCGAUUGCGAAGGCGAUCUACUAGAACAUUAUUGACGCUGAGACGCGAAAGCGUGGGGAGCAAACAGGAUUAGAUACCCCAGUAGUC